UAAGUAAGCUUUGAUCCAGAGAUUUCCGAAUGGGGAAACCCAGCAUGAGUUAUGUCAUGUUAUCGAUAUGUGAAUACAUAGCAUAUCAGAAGGCACACCCGGAGAACUGAAACAUCUUAGUACCCGGAGGAAGAGAAAGAAAAUUCGAUUCCCUUAGUAGCGGCGAGCGAAACGGGAAGAGCCCAAACCAACAAGCUUGCUUGUUGGGGUUGUAGGACACUCUAUACGGAGUUACAAAGGACGACAUUAGACGAAUCAUCUGGAAAGAUGAAUCAAAGAAGGUAAUAAUCCUGUAGUCGAAAAUGUUGUCUCUCUUGAGUGGAUCCUGAGUACGACGGAGCACGUGAAAUUCCGUCGGAAUCUGGGAGGACCAUCUCCUAAGGCUAAAUACUCUCUAGUGACCGAUAGUGAACCAGUACCGUGAGGGAAAGGUGAAAAGCACCCCGGAAGGGG
rnacentral:rRNA from 1 species